ACAGGUAAUAGCUAUGAUGUCAUAGUGGCUGUGAACAGGUAAUAGCUAUGAUGCCAUAGUGACUGUGAACAGGUAAUAGCUAUGAUGUCAUAGUGACAUGUGAACAGGUAAUAGCUAUGAUGUCAUAGUGACAUGUGAACAGGUAAUAGCCAUGUCAGUGGCUGUGAAUAGGUAAUAGCUAUGAUGUCAUAGUGACAUGUGAACAGGUAAUAGCUAUGAUGUCAUAGUGACAUGUGAACAGGUAAUAGCUAUGAUGUCAGUGGCAUGUGAACAGGUAAUAGCUAUGAUGUCAUAGUGACAUGCGAACAGGUAAAAGCUAUGAUGUCAUAGUGGCUGUGAACAGGGAAUAGCUAUGAUGUCAUAGUGGCUGUGAACAGGUAAUAGCUAUGAUGCCAUAGUGACUGUGAACAGGUAAUAGCUAUGAUGUCAUAGUGACUGUGAACAGGUAAUAGCUAUGAUGUCAUAGUGACAUGUGAACAGGUAAUAGCUAUGAUGUCAUAGUGACAUGUGAACAGGUAAUAGCUAUGAUGUCAUAGUGACAUGCGAACAGGUAAUAGCUAUGAUGUCAUAGUGACCUGCGAACAGGUAAUAGCUAUGAUGUUAUAGUGACAUGCGAACAGGUAAUAGCUAUGAUGUCAUAGUGGCUGUGAACAGGUAAUAGCUAUGAUGUCAUAGUGACUGUGAACAGGGAAUAGCUAUGAUGUCAUAGUGGCUGUGAACAGGUAAUAGCUAUGAUGCCAUAGUGACUGUGAACAGGUAAUAGCUAUGAUGUCAUAGUGACAUGUGAACAGGUAAUAGCUAUGUCAUAGUGACGUGAACAGGUAAUAGCUAUGAUGUCAUAGUGACAUGUGAACAGGUAAUAGCUAUGAUGUCAUAGUGACAUGUGAACAGGUAAUAGCUAUGAUGUCAUAGUGGCUGUGAAUAGGUAAUAGCUAUGAUGUCAUAGUGACAUGUGAACAGGUAAUAGCUAUGAUGUCAUAGUGACAUGUGAACAGGUAAUAGCUAUGAUGUCAUAGUGGCUGUGAACAGGUAAUAGCUAUGAUGUCAUAGUGACAUGUGAACAGGUAAUAGCUAUGAUGUCAUAGUGACAUGUGAACAGGUAAUAGCUAUGAUGUCAUAGUGACAUGUGCACAGGUAAUAGCUAUGAUGUUAUAGUGGCUGUGAACAGGUAAUAGCUAUGUCAUAGUGACUGAACAGGGAAUAGCUAUGAUGUCUUAGUGGCUGUGAACAGGUAAUAGCUAUGAUGCCAUAGUGACUGUGAACAGGUAAUAGCUAUGAUGUCAUAGUGACGUGAACAGGUAAUAGCUAUGAUGUCAGUGACAUGUGAACAGGUAAUAGCUAUGAUGUCAUAGUGAUGUGACCAGGUAAUAGCUAUGAUGUCAUAGUGGCUGUGAAUAGAAAAUAGCUAUGAUGUCAUAGUGACAUGUGAACAGGUAAUAGCUAUGAUGUCAUAGUGACAUGUGAACAGGUAAUAGCUAUGUCAUAGUGACAUGUGAACAGGUAAUAGCUAUGAUGUCAUAGUGGCUGUGAACAGGUAAUAGCUAUGAUGUCAUAGUGACAUGUGAACAGGUAAUAGCUAUGAUGUCAUAGUGACAUGUGAACAGGUAAUAGCUAUGAUGUCAUAGUGACAUGUGAACAGGUAAUAGCUAUGAUGUCAUAGUGACGUGAACAGGUAAUAGCUAUGAUGUCAUAGUGACGUGAACAGGUAAUAGCUAUGAUGUAAUUGUGACAUGCGAACAGGUAAUAGCUAUUAUGUCAUAGUGACAUGUGAACAGGUAAUAGCUAUGAUGUCAGUGGCUGUGAACAGGUAAUAGCUAUGAUGUCAUAGUGACAUGUGAACAGGUAAUAGCUAUGAUGUCAUAGUGACAUGUGAACAGGUAAUAGCUAUGAUGUCAUAGUGACAUGUGCACAGGUAAUAGCUAUGAUGUUAUAGUGGCUGUGAACAGGUAAUAGCUAUGUCAUAGUGACUGUGAACAGGGAAUAGCUAUGAUGUCAUAGUGGCUGUGAACAGGUAAUAGCUAUGAUGCCAUAGUGACUGUGAACAGGUAAUAGCUAUGAUGUCAUAGUGACAUGUGAACAGGUAAUAGCUAUGAUGUCAUAGUGACAUGUGAGCAGGUAAUAGCUAUGAUGUCAUAGUGAUGUGACCAGGUAAUAGCUAUGAUGUCAUAGUGGCUGUGAAUAGGAAAUAGCUAUGAUGUCAUAGUGACAUGUGAACAGGUAAUAGCUAUGAUGUCAUAGUGACAUGUGAACAGGUAAUAGCUAUGAUGUCAUAGUGACAUGUGAACAGGUAAUAGCUAUGAUGUCAUAGUGACAUGUGAACAGGUAAUAGCUAUGAUGUCAUAGUGACAUGUGAACAGGUAAUAGCUAUGAUGUCAUAGUGACAUGUGAACAGGUAAUAGCUAUGAUGUCAUAGUGACGUGAACAGGUAAUAGCUAUGAUGUCAUAGUGACAUGCGAACAGGUAAUAGCUAUUAUGUCAUAGUGACAUGUGAACAGGUAAUAGCUAUGAUGUCAUAGUGACAUGUGAACAGGUAAUAGCUAUUAUGUCAUAGUGACGUGAAACAGGUAAUAGCUAUGAUGUCAUAGUGACAUGUGAACAGGUAAUGGUGUCAUACUGAAUGUUAAGUGUUGACUGUCAAUAGGCAAUGAUGCCAAGUGACGUCGCUGCUGUGAGUGACGUCGCCGCUGUAAGCUGACGUCGCCGCUGUAAGCUGACGUCGCCGCUGUAAGGUGACGUCGCCGCUUUAAGGUGACGUCGCCGCAUCCUGUUGGCACGCCAGCCCUAGCUGAACGCCGUUGGUCAAGCUGGAGGCAAGAUGCUCAGCCCGUUCCUCGUGUGUUCGGCCCUCGCAGGAGGGGGCCAGGCUCUGCCGCUGCUGCCCGGGUUCCAGCCGGGGGACUGGGAUCCGGAGGCGCUGCAGCAGUGGGCGCCGGUCGUGGGCGCCGUGCUCAUGCUCGUCGCCAUCCUGCUCGCCUGUGUGGCAGCUGGGGCUGUUGGGAGCCCGACAGACGAGUAGCCCCGCCCCCGGCACCAAUACGGACGUCACAACGUGCGACCCGGGGCACGCCGCCCCUAACCUUGGGUUCGCAUCCCGGGGUCCAGCCGCCCAACCACAGCGAUCACAGCGGGUUCUCAAGCGCCGCAAAAGUUGAUGGCGUCACCGGCGACUCGCGCCAGAGACCCGCGGACUCGUCGAGCGUAAAGCCCCGGAUUCACGCCGGGGACCCAGGGACUCGCGUGGAGAUCCGUGGACCCCUCGCACGGAGCGCCCGAGUGACACUGGGCCGUGAUCGGACCACGUUGUCACAGGUCGGGAAGCCCGAUGUCUCAGCCCCGCUGCCAACGGCUGUACAAAAAAGAAAACCCAUCGCUGCAUCAUCAAUAAAGUGUGCUUCUUUUUUAACUUCAA